UAUAAGGACUAGAGUAAUCUUGUUGUAUAUUCUGAUUCUAUAAUUAAUCAUUACACCAUUAUCCUACAUUCAGUUUAUGCAGACUAGGACACAGGGGCGGCGCCAGGGGGUAGCUUGGAGUUGCUAUAGCAACUCCAACAAUUGGCCUAGCAACGGCUUAGCAACCCCAUUGUUUUGUUAUGAAAAUAUAUCUAUAUAUACUUAUACACAUUCUCGCGAGAUCUAUCAGGGGUCUUUNUAAGUUAAAGCGCAAACUGUUACUUGGCUAAUGUUGUUAUAAUUCUCAGUAUGUGAACACAGAUCGAAAAU